rnacentral:rRNA from 1 species
AACGAACGCUGGCGGCAUGCCUAACACAUGCAAGUCGAACGAGACCUUCGGGUCUAGUGGCGCACGGGUGCGUAACGCGUGGGAACCUGCCCUUAGGUUCGGAAUAACUCCCCGAAAGGGGUGCUAAUACCGGAUAAUGUCUUCGGACCAAAGAUUUAUCGCCUUUGGGUGGGCCCGCGUUGGAUUAGCUAGUUGGUAGGGUAAAAGCCUGCCAAGGCGACGAUCCAUAGCUGGUCUGAGAGGAUGAUCAGCCACACUGGGACUGAGACACGGCCCAGACUCCUACGGGAGGCAGCAGUGGGGAAUAUUGGACAAUGGGCGAAAGCCUGAUCCAGCAAUGCCGCGUGAGUGAUGAAGGCCUUAGGGUUGUAAAGCUCUUUUACCCGGGAUGAUAAUGACAGUACCGGGAGAAUAAGCUCCGGCUAACUCCGUG